UCUUCCAAAUAAAAAAAUUUUUAAAAAGAAAAUUUGAUCUGUACCAGACAUAGUGCUAAGCCCUUUAUAUGCAUAAUCUCAUUAAUCAAUGUCCCAGCCGGUGGGAGUAAUGCAGUCUAGUUUACAGUGGAGCAACCUGACCCUAACAAGGAACACCGAGAAGUUCAACCUGACAGCCUCUCCAGAAGCCGGGGCAGAGACCUCAUUUAGUGCUCACUAAAAAGUAGUGAAUGUUCUAAGCUAUACAAAUGAAGAUUUUUACAAAUGACAGAGCAAAGGCCCUGAGAGAUUUGUUUUCUGUCCAAUGGAACAUAGCUAAUAAAUGGUGGACCCAGGCUCAGACAAAUCCCAGAUACCCUAUGCUUAGGAGUUCUCUCUCUCUCUGAACUGCUGCAACUGCCCCAGUGUAAACAUGAAAAGGAGGCAUUUGGGGCUAAGCAAUUAAAAAUAUGUGUUUUCUCUGACUGACAAUAGACACGGCGGCCUGAGUAAAAGCUGGGCUUUGGGCUCCCACCAGGCCCUCCCACCACCAGUAUGCUAUCUGUCCAUCCCUGGAGCUAGCGGAGGCUCCAUCUCUCUCUCUCAGCCAGUUUCAGGGCAACAGGCAUCUUUUCACUUCAGUGUGGCAUUUUCUGGUGACAGUAACUGGGUAGCCUGGUUCUCAGGAGACCUGGUUUCUUGUGUUUCUAUCACUGACUAUAGGAUAUAACCUCAGAGAAACUCCAGGUCUGAAGACCCAUUUGGCACCUGCUGGGAUUCUGGGUGGUUGGUGGUCAGUGGAUGCAGGUUUGCCUAACCUGUUUGAAAUCAUUGAGCUUCUGCCCCUGCUCACUCACCACCAGUCCGCUUGGUGCCCAUUGGCAUUUCUGUUAAAAAACAAACAAAAACCCCCAAAAACAUCAGACCCAGACCUGAGGCAGCUAGUUGCCUGCAGACAGGUGUUGCUCCGCACCAGGCGCACUCAGCCACAACCUUGAAAGGUCAGCGUACCAUGGAGUUGGCUUUCACAGGAGAUAACGUGGACAUAUCACUGUCUGGCAGUUAUCGUUAGUCCUUUGUCCAACUUUAGAAAUAAUGGAAUUUUGGCAAUGUUUUCCCUUAGACUUUUUCAGCAUUCCUAGACUGAUUCACUCCCCUGGUGAACCCGUGGUUUCCGUGUUACACUGAUUACGGUAAAAACAGCAGUCUUCUGGGAAUGUGUUCAGGCUUUUCCCGAAUCCCUGAGCCUUGCCUCCGCAGUCGCUGCUCUCUCUCGAGCCCCGGCAUCAGACGGUCCAGUCUGGUCGGGCCACCGGCAGGCCGGCCGUCUGGCUGAGCCUGGACCCAGUCCCGGUUCCUGGUUCCCUUCUGCCUGACACACAGACUGACCUGUCCUGCGGCGCGUCAUAGCCGUUUCUUUCCUACAGUUUAAGAGGAGUGCCCUGCAAGAGCACUCCAGGAAAUUAAAGUCACUUUUCAAACAUCCCGAGGUCACUUUAAGAAUUCAAAGGGCAGGAGACACCUGCCGGGUGGGGGGGUGGCGCCGGAGCCGCUCAGCCCUCCCGGCUCCGGAAGUGCCGGCGUCGGAGGUGACCGCGCCCCGCGGCCGGGAAGGGGCGGUGGGCCCCCGGGGCCGCAGCGACUUGGCCCCUCCCCGCCCCUCUGCCUUGCGGGCCCGCGGGGCUCGGCCCUGACCCCGGAGCAGGUCCGCGCGAAGCCCGGCGGGACCCUGAACAGGCGGGCGGGCCCGGCGCGAGGCGAGGGCGGGCUGGGAGGGGCGGGGCCGGCGGGCGGUACUCCAGUCGGAGCGGACUCUGCCCCCGCCCCGGGCGGCCGGGCACCGGGGCGCCGCUGCUCACACGGAACCGACUCCGGAGCUGGUCCGCUGACGACCGCGCGCAGUCCGAGAGCGUCUCCGCAGUGGGCCGGGCCUGGAGGAUGCGCGCUCUGGACGCGCCCGCGAGCGCGCGGCUCUUGUCCCGGGACUCCGGGACCCCCGCGGCCCCGGACGCGGCUGGGCCGGCUCGCAGGAGCGCGGUGGAGAGGCUGGCGGCCGACCGCGCCAAGUACGUGCGCGGCCCGCCUAGGACCGGCCCAGGCCCGGCUGGCGGGGGCAGCAGCCCCGAGGCGACCGGAGGGCAGGCGUGCGUCCCCGGGCCCGGGGUGCGCAGGGCUAUAGCGCGGAAGCCGCUAAGGCCGGACUCGCUGGUCAUAUACCGUCAGAAGUGCGAGUUCGCCCGAGCGUCGGGAGCCGACAGCCCCAGGGCAAGCCUGGUGAAGAAGCUCUUCCAGGGGCCGAGCAAGGACAAGACGCCCGAGCCUCCCGGCGCCGCCCGGGUGGGAGCGGAGUUGGGGGUCAGGGCCCAGGGGGCCGCCCGGGCCGAGCCUGGCCCCUCCACGGGCCCCGCGCCCGCCCGGUCCGUCGGGACGCCCCCCAGGGUCUCGGCUGCGCCCCGCGGCGCGGAGCUGCUGGGGGCGAGGCGCCGGGGGCUGCAGCGCUCGCAGUCCGACCUUAGCUCGCGCUACUCCGUGUCCUUGGCCGAAUCGGACACUUUCUUCCAGUACUGCGGCCUGGAGCCCGACGUGGUGGAGGCGCUCGGGCGGGAGAACUUCUCGGCUGAGUCGGACCGCGGCGCCCUCAAGGUCCGCAGCGUGAGCGUGGCCACCUCCGACAGCGGCUUCUCCCGGCGCAGCGGGGAAGACGAGGGGCUGCAGGAGGAGGAGCUGGCGGAGCAGGUGCCCAGCACCACCUCGGUGGUCGAGAGGAACGCGCGCAUCAUUAAGUGGCUGUACACCUGCAAGAAGGCCAAGGAGACGCCCGGCCAGGGGCUGCAGGGCCCCGCGUGACAGACCCCAGGAGACCCGGGCCGAGGUGUGCCUCCGGGGCCCGGGAGGGCUGUCUGUGAGGCGCGCCUGUGAGGUGCUGGGGAGGGACCGAGCUGGGGAACCCUGCCUUCUAAAGUAACUCGGGGCCGAGAGAGAGCCGCAGGGGCGCCUGCGUCAGAAGGCUGCCAGACCCGGCCUGUGCCGGUUCUCCUGAGUGUGCGGCUUCUAGCUGCCAGGAAAGGAAGCAAGCCUUCUGGACGAUGGGGACUCCUUGCAGUAUGUCUGGAUGACUGGGACCCCAGGCCCAUCUUCACUGCCAGGUUUUGUCUAGAGUACCCAAGUAUCCAUAUAAUUGCUCUUUUCCCAGGAAUAAAACACACCACUGAAGAAGUUUGUCAUUUCAGAAGUUUGAAAUGCUGUGGAGAAGGUGGGAACACAGAACUUGGAAAUUAGCUGAGUUUUAACUGUUAUGACACAGCUGAAGCUCUGGAAAAUAUUUUCUUGUGUUAGGUGGAUCUAUUUUUGCUUCCAGAGGGCAGCAGAAGAAGGAAAAGCUGCUUGGAAAUAUCUUCAAGGGCAUCUUUCUGAGUGGCUUGCUGACAAAUAGGCACCAUGAUACAUUUUAAUGAUUAUUAAUUUUGAAAGGAAAAAAGGCAAAGAGCAUGAAAGUCAAACACAAAUGCCAUGGUAUUUACUGCUUUCAACCAUACUGGACAGAUUGGCACUAUUUAAAUCAAAGUUCUGUGACCAUAAGAAGAUGUAUGCUACACAAAUACUGUGGUUAACAAAGAGCAAACACAUGCUCACACUUGCACAUUCACACAUAGACCUCCUUUUCUAGGUACCGCUGCACCAUAAACUACAAUGAAUUCCAGCUGUGCAAUUGAUCAUCUUACGAGGUGAAUCAGAAAGCACUCUUACAACCACUUGAGAGCUGCAGGGUCAUGAUGAGUGCCACUCCGGAUGGGCUGUGGACAUGCAGUGGUAACAUAAAAAGAUAAAGAGUUGAAAUACUGCUAGGAAACCUUUCUGUGUACCUGGACAGUUUCUUAGAAUUGGCAGAAUACUGAAGCUUCCUUCCUUCAAAUCUGUAUCAGUGGUCCUCUUCUGCAGCACCGUGUCUGAUAUGCCUCCUUGGUUCUCUUGUCCCCAACUUCCGAAAAGGAUAAAAAAGACCUCUAUUUAGGCAGAACAUGGACUCAUGACAUGUGAAAUGCCCUACAUUUUGGUCUACUUCGCACCCUCAUCUAUCAUGCAGUCAUUCCAAAUUUGGCAGCAGUUCGUUGCCUGAAUAGGAUGCUGUCUGAAUAGGAUGUUUGAAACAAGGGCAGCCCCUUGGGCAGCUGGGAGACUGUCGGGUUGGAGUGUUCUUGGUAAGGAGUUACUGUGACCCUAAACCUGUCCUGGCUCAUGACACUCAGAGUAAAUAAAUUUCAAGUUCAGAACCUUCGGAGAGAAGUUUGUGUAUCCAUGAAAACAACCCAAAGACAACCUGUCACCCAGUCAAAGUUCACAAUGUUUCAUCAAAAUACAUCUAAGAAUAUAAUUAUUAGAGCAGGGAAGGAAGAGAAAUGGGUUUCUCAAAAGUAAAAUAUUUUAUAAACCAAUUUUGAUACAUUCAUGUAUUUGUUUAAUACUGUAUUCUAUUUUUGUAACUUUUGCUGUGAGAAUAGGUCCUGGAGUUAAAUAUUUAUUUUUAUGUAAGUAUUGGUCUUCAGAUAGUUUUCCGACAUUUCAUACGGUUUUGGUUUUUGCCAGUAUAAUUUUAGUCAUUCUGUCCUUGGUUAUCGUUUUGUACGUUGUUUAAUUGAAUUUUCCAUGUGACUCAGCAGCAUGUUCGGGACUCUGUACUGUGCUCAGCACUGUAGGGACUUGUUUGCCAAUAAGUCACGGUUGUGCAUUUGGGGAGGAUACCUCUUCAAUGUAGACUCUAUAAAGACGAAGAUUCCCUGCUCUAAGAAAAUUUUCCCUGUUUUUUUUUUUUUUUUUUAAUGCUGCUAUUUUGCUAUUCACUAUUCACUGGAUUAUACUUAAUUUAAAAGAUAAUGUCAAAAAUGAGAAUUUUCUUUAAAGGAUCUUUUGUAUUUGGAGUUUCCCUAUUUGCAGAUUCCAUUAAUUUUUUAUGUGAAUGCUUUAAGUGAAAUUGUUAUGUGCCUUUCUACUGUCAGAAUAGGAUAAAGUAUAUCCUAGGUCAGAUUUAUCUGAGAUCAAAAUGAUGUGAACUCUGCCAUUCAUGUGGGCUUCCCUGGUGGCUCAGUAGUAAAGAAUUUGCCUGCAGUGCAGGAGAUGCAGGAGACGUGGGUUCAACCCCUGGGUCCUGGGGCUCCCCUGGAGGAAGGCAUGGCAACCCACUCCAGUACUCUUGCCUGGAGAAUCCCAUGAACAGAGAAGCCUGGCAGGCUGCAGUCCAUAGGGUCGCACAGAGUCCAACACCACUGAAGUGACUAAGCAGCAGAAAUAGCUACCAGCCACCCAUGUAAUAGAUGAAAACCAGGAAAACAAAUUGGUUACUGUUUAAAAGCACUGAGAUCUUCCAGAAGCAUUUGUGUGUCAAUGACAGUGACUCUCUGAAGUAAAUGUCAGGGGUGUGUGUGAGGCAUGAAUAGGGUGUCCCCAGACCCCAGCAGGAUCAGGUUAACACUCCCUCUUGUGUGUCUGGAUUCAGGCCUCAGCUCAGGGGCUGAGUGUGUGGCUGGUGGCAGGAAAUCCUUUCCUAACUCUGAAUUAACCCAAAUUGCUGAGUGACUCUGAGAAAAUCAGACUUUGUAGCUCAGUCUGAAUAAAAAAGUUUAUAAUUGGUUUCACAAGGAUGAACAGUAGUUAUUGCUGCAAAAUAGUUUCAUUUGUUCAGGAAAGAAUAGCAUAUUAGGUAAUAUGAUUAAGUACAAUGGAAAGGAAAAGUUAUUGAAAAAUAAUUGAUAAAACCUGGAAAAUAGCUUGACAGUAUAUAGUUCUUUAAUAUAUGGAUACAGAUUACCAGUGCCUCAGACUUAAAGGUAGUUAUGUGACUGAAAGGUAGUUAUAUAACUGAAGUUUUCUCAUUAUGCAUAUAGUUUUUAAACUGCUGGUCACUGACGCUGGAAUAAGAAGCAGGCUUGACCAAGCAUCGCCCUUUCCAGUGGUUAAAGGGCACUGCUACAGUUAUUGUUGGUGAUGCCAUGAAAUAUCAGGCCCAGACGAUUGUUAUGGCAGUCUAAAUAGAGUUCUUUUUUUACACACUACUUGCAACAUGAGUGCAAUAUUGUAUAUUCUGUAUCAAAGAAAUAAACUAUUUUUUGUCAUUUUUAA